UGGUUUCGCCUUGAAACAGACAAAGUCUGAAUUUUCCCUGUUCGUUGACGAAUCUAAAUUCUAAAGAAUGCUACUCAUCAAAUUAUUCUGCUGAAACUUGAGAGAGGGAGGAGAAGUAGCUGCAAAGGAGUCUUGUGGAAGUUGCCCGAGCAAGCAGGAGGGCUGGGACCGGCCCAGGUAGGAGGGCCGGGCUCUGCCAGGCCUGAGGGCAGCCUUUGGCUCUGCCGUGCUGUGAGCCGUGGGUCCGUGAGGGGGACACUGAGGUGUCUGAGGUAGGUUCUCUUGCCGGGGAAGCAGGGACAAUGAUGCUGUCUGUGCGAGGUGGCAGAGACGUGGACUGAGAAGGCAGAGUGGCUGGUGUCACAGCACUUAACAGUUGAGAGCAACUCUUCUUAGACUCUGAGGUCUAACAGGACCUCCACCGUGCCCGCGAGAAGCAGCGCUGGCGGCUCUCAGCCCUCUCGCAGGCAGAUGGGGUCAACAUGACCCGUUCCCUCCAGAAAAUCCUUGCAGGAGGCACGGAGGCUGGCAGGCCCCUGUGCCCUGCACUGCUGCCCCCUCCCUCCAGUGUCCCAGAGGAUGCUGCUCUAGGAAGCAAUGGAGACAGAGCAGACGCAGAGUGAGACCCUGCACCCCACCCCUGUCUGAGAGCAGAGCGUCAGCCCCCUGGUGGGGGUGUCCCCGCUUUCUGUACCAGGACGAGAACAACCUCACCACUGGGGCCGGGGCACCGAGAGCGAGUCCACCCAGCAAACUGGCCGGCUGGGCCUCAUCGCCCGUCAGCUCCCUGCAGAUUCACCUUCCUCCACCCGCCGCCCUGGAAAUGCACAGCCCUUUCCUGUGUCCUGUCCCUUCUCUACAGUCCUGCUUUUCUGUUCGAACGCUGAGGAAGAUCCCGUCCUAACCCCCUGGAGUUCGCAUCACCGAGUUCUCCCGUGCGGCUGCACCGUGCACAGAUGGAUAAACUUCUGUGAGUUCUCUUCUUGCUAACCCAUCCAUUGUCAUUCUAAUUUGCGGGCCCCCGACAGCAAAUCUAGGAGGUAGAAGGAAAAAGAGGUUAUUGCUCCCCUAGA